GGCGCUAUAGCCAAGUGGUUACGGCGACAGAUUAGAAUUUGGCCAUCCUCCUAAUUCAUCUGUUCCUCUUUGAGGGCGCAGGUUCAAAUCCUGCUGGCGUCG